CCAAGCGGAGCAAUGGUUAUCGUUCCUUCGGAAAGAUACAGAGAAGAUUAGCAUGCCCUUGCACAAGGAUAAAACGGACAAAUCGAUGAAUGGUCAAAAUUUGU
rfam:Helianthus annuus linkage group 1, whole genome shotgun sequence.